rnacentral:ribozyme from 1 species
AAAUGUAGUGUAAUGGAAUGAAGAAAGAACAAAGUAAGAGUGAAGAAAGACAAAUGGUGAGAAGUCAAUGCGUGCUUUCUUCACUCGUUUCUUUGCUCUUUUCUUCACACCAUUCCCGUUGUGAUGUGAGAAAGAGAAGUGAAAGGAAGAAAGUGAAGAGAGCGUGCACU